CUACUGGUGGCGCUGCAUGGAAAGGACACCUGUUAGAGAACGAGAAUGGCUCUCCCGGGGACAGCUCGCCCGGGGGUGGUGCUCCUCCAUUCACAGUGUUUGGAGGGGGCGGAGGAGGCGGAGGUGGAGUAAUGGGUUCUCCUUGGAAGAAGAAGAACGCUAUCAGUCCUGUUGAAAAUGAAAUUCCACAGAAGACCACGCCCUCUAUUACGUCAGAUCCGGAUACGGACAGCACAGCUCUCUCCAAUGGCUGGCUCAACUUCCUGUCUGGAGAUGGUGGCCAUCUUAGAGAGCACCGCUAGGUCCAGUUUCACAUGACCAUCAUCAGCAUGGAAACGGAAUGUAUUUAACAGUUCCUCGAUUAAUUCGAAAACUGGUUGAUUACACCAGGAAUGAAUUUUACGUUUGAAACUGAACCCAUCCACCAGUUCAUAAGGAGUAUUGAAUACACUUUUAUUAAAUGGUUUGUGAAAUGAUUAAAAAGGAAACAAACUUGACUAAAUUCGGAACACAAAUCUUUCAUUCCCACCGUAGACAUCGAUACGAACAUUCGACAUGCUUGGAAGAUUCCCAACAUCUGCUGCCAGUUCUGAGACUGGUGUUACCGGAAAUAUACGUCCUGUGUAUCAUAUUGAUAUAAAUUAUAGACAUUAAUCCUGUGAAAUAUGUGAUAGAGAUAUUUUAUUGACUUAUAAGCACCUUAUGUGUUAGAUUGAGAUAUUUAACUGACCGAUAAGGGUCAUAUGUGUAAGAUUGAGAUUAAUAAAAUCAAACAUGAUCCUGUUCCGUAGACAUGGAUAUCUAAACCCACGAGGGUUGAAAGAUAUCCAGACCCAUGUUUGAUUAUUUUUCUCAUGUACUUUGCAAGCAAAUGCAAGAUCUUAUGAAAGUUUUUCAAAGCGCCAUCUACAGUGCUCCUUGGAAUGUCGUCAUCAUUUACGACAUUGUCACUCAACGUAAAAUGAUGACGUUACUUUAUUGUGAGCAGCGUCAUAUAGCGCGUGCAAGCUCCCUCUACUCCCCUGUGUGAGAUCGAAUUACCUUUUCCCUAGCAACCGCGGGAUAACAAUAUGGAGUAUGUGAGAAUAAUAGAAUAUAACAUAGGUCUGUUCCGUGGCCAGGGAUAUCUCAACCCGAGUGAAGAGUUUGGUCAGUCAGCACUAGGCUCCUUUUCAACAGCCAUAUUUCGUUAUUGCCGUGACACAUUAUGACGUCACAAUAAAAAUGACGUCAUAAUAAAGGUUCUGAAGUUAUGGACUCGUAAACUUCAAUUGAGCUUGUUUACAAAGUUAUAUAGUGGGGCUGCAGUGUAAAUGUAAAUACUGUAUUCAAAUUUUAUGUCACAUUCGUUGACGUCUUUCCGAUGUACAGCGUUCUGUACCAAACAAGUAGAGGUUAGAAUGUUAUGUAAAUUUAUGUAAAUUUAUGUAUAUUUUCAAAUGUAAUAUAAUUUUCAUCACCUAUCA